AGAAUCAACGCUGGCGGCGUGCCUAACACAUGCAAGUCGAACGAGAAAGUGGUAGCAAUACCAUGAGUAAAGUGGCGCACGGGUGAGUAACACGUGACUAACCUACCCUUGAGUGGGGGAUAACUGAGGGAAACCUUAGCUAAUACCGCAUAAUACCCACGGGUCAAAGGAGCAAUUCGCUUAAGGAGGGGGUCGCGGCCGAUUAGUUAGUUGGCGGGGUAAUGGCCCACCAAGACUGUGAUCGGUAUCCGGCCUGAGAGGGCGCACGGACACACUGGAACUGAAACACGGUCCAGACUCCUACGGGAGGCAGCAGUGGGGAAUUUUGCGCAAUGGGGGAAACCCUGACGCAGCAACGCCGCGUGGAGGAUGAAGUCCCUCGGGACGUAAACUCCUUUCGAUCGGGACGAUAAUGACGGUACCGGAAGAAGAAGCCCCGGCUAACUUCGUGCCAGCAGCCGCGGUAAUACGAGGGGGGCGAGCGUUGUUCGGAAUUAUUGGGCGUAAAGGGUGCGUAGGCGGUUUGGUAAGUCUUGUGUGAAAUCUCCGGGCUCAACUCGGAGCCUGCACGAGAAACUGCCGGGCUUGAGUGUGGGAGAGGUGAGUGGAAUUUCCGGUGUAGCGGUGAAAUGCGUAGAUAUCGGAAGGAACACCUGUGGCGAAAGCGGCUCACUGGACCACAACUGACGCUGACGCACGAAAGCUAGGGGAGCAAACAGGAUUAGAUACCCUGGUAGUCCUAGCCCUAAACGAUGACUGCUUGGUGUGACGGGUACCCAAUCCGCCGUGCCGUAGCUAACGCGUUAAGCAGUCCGCCUGGGGAGUACGGUCGCAAGGCUGAA
rnacentral:rRNA from 1 species